rnacentral:rRNA from 1 species
UACGGAGGGUGCGAGCGUUGUCCGGAAUCACUGGGCGUAAAGGGCGCGUAGGCGGCCUGAUAAGUAGGGGGUGAAAUCCUGCGGCUUAACCGCAGGGCUGCCUUCUAAACUGUCAGGCUGGAGCACAGUAGAGGCAGGUGGAAUUCCCGGUGUAGCGGUGGAAUGCGUAGAGAUCGGGAAGAACAUCAGUGGCGAAGGCGGCCUGCUGGGCAGUUGCUGACGCUGAGGCGCGACAGCGUGGGGAGCAAACAGG